AGCCCGCGAUCGUGGUGAGCGUACGCGUGUCUCGUUCCGCACCGUGUAUAUAACGCGCGCGCGGUGUCGCAAAUAUACACGGCUACUCCGGUUUCUCCCGGCGCGUCCCCCGCGAGCGAGCGAGCGAGCAGAUCGAUCGGAAUCGAUCGAUCCGAUAUAACCGUGCGGAAUUGUUCAGCCGCGUCGAAAUUGUAAACGCGCGCGCGGAAGGAGAUUUCUUUUCGCAGCCCGCGGCGCCGCUCCUCUCGCACCGCAUCGUCCCCGCGGACGAAACCGCCUCGGGGAAAUAACCGCUCCGAAUGAGCGAAGGAGCGGGUCGACGAUCGUAGACAUCUGCCGACGAGUCAUCAGUGAAACGGGUGACGUGAAAUCAUAUGGGACACUUUUCUAACGUAAGAGGGGAUUCGUGGAGAGACGCGGUUAGACCACGGAGCGCGGAGAGACAGCCGGUCUCUCGCGAAGAGCGGACGAGGGAGGAGUGAUAUGAGUGCUGAACGCAGGAUCUUUCGUGACGUUAAACGGCGAUUGAGUGGCGAGCGGUUCGAAGGAAAUACCAUCGAGUGAUCGGCACGCGAGGGAAGACCGGACGUCGCGCAUUGAGGAUCGGGUGGAGCGGGAGAGAGAAAGGGAAAAGGACGAGAAGAAGGGCGUAAUAGUAGUGUGUUUAUUUUUUAUUGGUUGCGUGAGGAAAGCGAACCUACGCGUGCGGCAAGAAGAGACGAGAAAAGUGAAGACGAGCUGGAGGACGGCCGGUGGAAGUAGCCUCGAGGUGGGAAGGAAGGUGAAGAAAAAGAAAAGAUGAUGCUGUGCCAUCCGAUCGUUCUCCUCGCCGGCCUGCUCACCGUCGUCCGUGCUCAAGGGGUCCCGCGAACAUUUUCGGCUAGGCCUUACCGAGGAGGUUGGUUCGUUUGUUUGGUUUGCAAUUAGGAUUAGUCAGUAGAUUUUUUUCUCUAAAAGCCCUAGUCCUCUCCUUUUUCUUUCUUCUUUCACGCGUAAUAGACUUCGCUUUUACAUACAUAAUUACUCGUCUGUUUCUUCCCCUGUAUUCUUACUACUACUACUACUACUACUACUACUGUCUCUCUUUAUAUAUAUAUUAUAUAUAUCUCUAUAUCUAUAUCUCUCUGUCUUUCACUAUCUACCUUUUCCCUUUAUUCUCUCUUGAUGCCUCGAUCGUCGCUCGACCAUUGCUAACACCAAUCACCACCUUUGAACGUUACUAACCGUAGCAUAUAUAUCUAUACAUACGUGCGUGCAGACUCGAUCCUUGCAUAUGUGUAUCUUAGACUCACACGUAUCAAGAUGUAUGUAUACGCAUAUAUAUGGAUAUGUGUAUAUCCGAUUAUAUACCGAUUGAUUUUCGUAUAUAUCAAGCAGUGUGUGACUUCACCACCACUCCGACUCUCGAUUGACACCGAUUGACUUGUUCUCUCUUUCUCUCUCUCUGUUUUUUCUUUUUUUUACAUAUAAUUUUUUACGUUUGUCGAAGGUCCGUAUCUCUAGCUUUAGUUGAUCGAUGUUUAGAUAUGUGAUGAAUUAAGAUAUGUCCUUAUUAUCUGUGCGUGCCUUGUCAAUGCGCGCGUCUUCCCCCUCCCC